CACGUAGGGGGCAAGCGUUGUCCGGAUUUAUUGGGCGUAAAGAGCUCGUAGGCGGUUCGGUAAGUCGGGUGUGAAACCUCCAGGCUCAACCUGGAGACGCCACCCGAUACUGCUGUGACUAGAGUCCGGUAGGGGAGCGUGGAAUUCCUGGUGUAGCGGUGAAAUGCGCAGAUAUCAGGAGGAACACCAGCGGCGAAGGCGGGUCUCUGGACAGUUCCUGACGCUGAGGCACGAAGGUCAGGGGAGCAAACGGG
rnacentral:rRNA from 1 species